ensembl:lncRNA
AGCCUUUUCCUCACUCUUGUACAGGCUCUGGCACUUGUCUGCACUGGUGGUAAGCUGAAUCAAAGAGCUAAACUGGCAGAAUAUCAACUCCCCCUUCCCCUGAAUUGUGGAUUGUACAGAAGAACUGGAGCAUCAUACUGGAGGAAUUUUGAAAGCUGCAUGUGGGCAGUAAAGGAAGUGAACCUUCAACCUGGGGAGGUGGUGAUGGAAGGAAUGAACCUAAGAAGUUAGAUUGGUGGGAAGCUUUCAUCAUGUCUCCUGGAUUAAACGUGGGAAAGAAAAUAAUACCCUCAAUUCUCUUCUACUUUUGAAAAGAAUGACAGAGACAGUUAAGGAAUAUGAGCUGCUGUUGUCAGAGCUCACUUUUGCUGAAGUCCCUGGGCGCAUCUUGUUGAAGAAGGAAGAGGCAGAUAAGUUUCUUGUAACUGGAUACAUGAAUGCUCAGUGUGCUUUGAGUCUUCUGAAGAUUAUCUUUCCCAGUCUAGAUGUGGGUCAUGGACCUCUAACUGUCAGGAUCUGGCACAAGCUUAAGACUUGAGAAUUCAAACACGGCCAGAGAAUGUGGGUUUCUGCAUGUUGGUGCAAGGAAUGUGAGUUUCCAAGAAAUAAUGUUGGUGGGAGGAAAAUACCAGGCAUGUUGACUGCUGACAGAAGCCACUUUUGUGCCAAAACUAAGAAAAUAUGCCAAGAGCAGGCAUUCUUCUGAAGCUGUUACCCCUGCAAGACUGCCAGCUGAAAGGGAACGUGUGAUAUCUAGGACAGUGUAAAGCACAAUGUCUCUAUGGCACACAGCUUUUCAAAAAUGAGGCAUCUUCAGUUUAAGCUAUCUUUAUGCUGUACAUCAAUAAUGCAUGUUUUUUUUCAUCAGUUCCUUACUCGGAUUUGUAUACUGCAUCUUUCCGCCUCUCCACAUUUUAAUAGCUUCUUGCUGUAUGUGUUGAUACAUGUGGCAGACAGUAACAAAGAUAAACAAAAGAAUGCUCUAUUUUGUUCCCCCAGGAAAAAAACCACCAACAACAAACCCCCCCCCCACACACACACACAAUUAAUUAUUUUAUAAUAGUAGGACUUUCUCACAUUAUUCAUCAUGCUAACAAAAUAGUUGAGGCAGAUUUUCAGACAUUGGUUGGAUCAAGCCAUGGAAGAGUGUAAUGUGU